rnacentral:rRNA from 1 species
CCUACGGGCGGCAGCAGUGGGGAAUAUUGCACAAUGGGGGAAACCCUGAUGCAGCGACGCCGCGUGAGCGAUGAAGUAUUUCGGUAUGUAAAGCUCUAUCAGCAGGGAAGAAAAUGACGGUACCUGACUAAGAAGCCCCGGCUAACUACGUGCCAGCAGCCGCGGUAAUACGUAGGGGGCAAGCGUUAUCCGGAUUUACUGGGUGUAAAGGGAGCGUAGACGGCUUGGCAAGCCAGAUGUGAAAGGCUGGGGCUCAACCCCAGGACUGCAUUUGGAACUGUCAUGCUAGAGUGUCGGAGAGGCAGGCGGAAUUCCUAGUGUAGCGGUGAAAUGCGUAGAUAUUAGGAGGAACACCAGUGGCGAAGGCGGCGUACCGGCUCCACACUGACGCUGAGGCACGAAAGCGUGGGUAUCGAACAGGAUUAGAUACCCGAGUAGUC